AAGAGGUUCGACCCGAGCGACGCGAGAGAACGUUGCGUCAGCAACGGCCCGCAGGGCGAGCCUAUCACCGGCAGGUUGACGCUCGCACCACCA
rnacentral:sRNA from 1 species